rnacentral:rRNA from 1 species
GUCUUUUUGUUAAAAAUUUAAAGUCGGGCCUGCCCMCUGAAAAUUUAAAUGGCCGUGGUAUUUUGACCAUGCUAAGGUAGCAUAAUCAUUAGUUUUUUAAUUGAAAGCUGGAAUGAAAGGUUUGAUAAAAAAAUGACUGUCUCUAUUUAAUUUUAUUAAAAAUUUAUUUUUAAGUUCAAAAGCUUAAUUUUAAUUAAAAGACGAGAAGACCCUAUAGAGUUUAAUAAUUUAAGAUAAUUUAUAUUUUAGAAUUAAUUUAUUUAUUUUUUAAUAUUAUUUAAUUGGGGUGAUUAAAAAAUUUAAUUAACUUUUUUUAUAUUUCACCAUUAAUUUAUGAUAAUUUGAUCCAAUUUUUUUGAUUAUAAGAUAAAAUUACCUUAGGGAUAACAGCGUAAUUUUUUUAGAAAGUUCAAAUUAAAAGAAAAGAUUGCGACCUCGAUGUUGGAUUAAAAUUAAAUUUUGGUGUAGAAGCUAAAAAUUUUAAGUCUGUUCGACUUUUAAAAUUUUACA